rnacentral:rRNA from 1 species
AGAGUUUGAUCAUGGCUCAGAGCGAACGCUGGCGGCAGGCCUAAAACAUGCAAGUCGAACGCCGUAGCAAUACGGAGUGGCAGACGGGUGAGUAACACGUGGGAACGUGCCUUUUGGUUCGGAACAACACAGGGAAACUUGUGCUAAUACCGGAUAAGCCCUUCGGGGGAAAGAUUUAUCGCCAGAAGAUCGGCCCGCGUCUGAUUAGCUAGUUGGUGAGGUAACGGCUCACCAAGGCUACGAUCAGUAGCUGGUCUGAGAGGAUGAUCAGCCACACUGGGACUGAGACACGGCCCAGACUCCUACGGGAGGCAGCAGUUAGGAAUCUUGGACAAUGGGCGCAAGCCUGAUCCAGCCAUGCCGCGUGAGUGAUGAAGGCCUUAGGGUUGUAAAGCUCUUUCAGCGGGGAAGAUAAUGACGGUACCCGCAGAAGAAGCCCCGGCUAACUUCGUGCCAGCAGCCGCGGUAAUACGAAGGGGGCUAGCGUUGCUCGGAAUCACUGGGCGUAAAGCGCACGUAGGCGGCUUUCUAAGUCAGGGGUGAAAUCCUGGAGCUCAACUCCAGAACUGCCUUUGAUACUGGAGAGCUUGAGUCCGGGAGAGGUGAGUGGAACUCCGAGUGUAGAGGUGAAAUGCGCAGAUAUCAGGAGGAACACCGGUGGCGAAGGCGGAUCUCUGGGCCGAUACUGACGCUGAGGAGCGAAAGCGUGGGGAGCGAACAGGAUUAGAUACCCUAGUAGUCC